GGCUGGUCCAAAGCUAGUGAGUUACCUCAACUGAUUGUUCACAGUCAAUUACAGACUCCUUGUUCUCUUUCCUUCCUUCUCACUGCUGCACUUGAUAGUCUUCA
ensembl:Y_RNA Y_RNA Y RNA